rnacentral:misc_RNA from 1 species
GAAAUGCGAUAAGUAAUGUGAAUUGCAGAAUUCAGUGAAUCAUCGAAUCUUUGAACGCACAUUGCGCCCGCCAGUAUUCUGGCGGGCAUGCCUGUUCGAGCGUCAUUUCAACCAUCAAGCCCCGCGCUUGUUUUGGGGACCUGCGGCUGCCGCAGGCCCUGAAAACCAGUGGCGGGCUCGCUGUCACACCGGGCGUAGUAGAUUUUAUCUCGCUCAGGGCGUGCUGCGGGUUCCGGCCGUUAAAAAGCCUUUUUUACCCAAGGUUGACCUCGGAUCAGGUAGGAAGACCCGCUGAACUUAAGC